ensembl:lncRNA
GCCUUAAUGAGGAGCAGAUCUCUGACUGCGGUGUCUAUAAACAAGUUGGCGAUGAGCAUGUUGGUCUGUACCAGAGCUCAAGCAGCAGAAAGCUGAAUCAGCUAAGGACUGGUCCAGACUUUGAACCAUUGUUGGCCAAAGGAGCACUUCAGAGGUGAGCAGCCCAACGGGGGACGUGUCUGUGAGCCUUCGGGAGACUCAGCCCCAGCAGCAUCGUUUGGGUGUGGGCAGGAGUUCAGUGCUCCCAGCUCAGGCCGCCGUCACCCGGGGACGAGCAUCAGCCUUUCGUGAUGGGCUGUGGGACCAGCGACCUCUGCUGCUGCAACACCUUCGGCAUUUGCUGCACCUUAAGGGAUGGGGUGAAGGAGCAAAAGCCCAAAGGGCCUCCGGUGAGCAUUCGUGUCAGCCCAGCAGUGCAAGGGGUGAAGCUGGAACCAGGGUGCUUGGGGCCAAAGCCAAUGGGCAUCUUCCCUGGAAGCACAGGGAAGGAGAAACAGUAGGACUUUAUCUUAACUGUGCAAAGCUUCAGCAAGUGAGGGGGGGAAAAAAAGAAAGAGAAG